AGCAGCCGCGGUAAUUCCAGCUCCAAUAGCGUAUAUUAAAGUUGUUGCAGUUAAAAAGCUCGUAGUUGAAUUUCGGGGUUCAUCCGUUGGUCGGGCUUUUUGGUCUGUACUGGCGUGAUGGAUUCCUACCUUCUGAAUAACCGGCAUGUCAUUAAUUUGGUGCGCCGGGGAAGCAGGACUGUUACCUUGAAAAAUUAGAGUGCUUAAAGCAGGCUAUCGCCUGAAUACAUUAGCAUGGAAUAAUGAAAUAGGACGGCAUGGUUCUAUUUUGUUGGUUUCUAGGAUCACCGUAAUGAUUAAUAGGGAUAGUUGGGGGCAUUAGUAUUCAAUUGUCAGAGGUGAAAUUCUUGGAUUUAUUGAAGACUAACUUCUGCGAAAGCAUUUGCCAAGGAUGUUUUCAUUAAUCAAGAACGAAAGUUAGGGGAUCGAAGACGAUCAGAUACCGUCGUAGUCUUAACCAUAAACUAUGCCGACUAGGGAUCGGACGAUGUUAAUUUUUAAUGACUCAUUCGGCGUACCC
rnacentral:rRNA from 1 species